GUGGCGGGCGGAGUGGCCCAAGCGUUUCAAAGUAGCGGACACACGGAAAGAAGAAAUAUGAUGGCAGAGUCUACGCUAGAGCUGAAGAGGAUGAACACCUUUGGCCUCACAUACAAAGAAUGUUUCGCUUAAAAGCAGCACAAAAGAACAGCUGUGUCUGCAGUGUCGGUGUCUUCAGGGAGAGCCAAAACAAACCAACUUCUCAGCGUGAAACAAAUCAGCUCGUAACCUGAUGAAACGGUCUCCACUUCAUCAGACAUCACCUGGGUGAGGCCAGCACAAACAGCGGCCUAUUCGAUGGAUCCAUGGGGUCAGGAAAGCCAGUAGCAGAGGAACAGAAGCUGUUGAUCAAAGUUAAUACAGCUCUUCCUGCAUCUGCAGCCUGUGAGAGACUUUUUAGUCAUGCAGGACUCCUGUUCACUGCCAAACGGUCACAGCUUCACAGCAAGAACCUUGAGAGCCAACUGCUGCUGAAGCUGAAGCACCAUUUUACUGACUGAAGAAACAAUUUAUGGUAAAGUGAGCCAUACACAUAUGUACAUCCACAUAGUGGGAAUUUGUAUUUGUCUUUUAUAAUUACUUUUACUCUGAUUUCAGUGUUUAUUUGUGAGUGUAGUUUUUACAUUUUUACAUAUUACAUUGUGUUAAUCCACUGUCUAUACUUCAGGGUAUUUUAGUAUACAAAAUAAGUUUUGUUUGAAUGCCUAUUCCUGUGGAAUUUUAGCACAGAUGCUUUGUUUUGUUUUGUUUUGUUUUUUUAAUUCCUGCUGUCCGCCUUGGAAAUAAACUUUUCCUGAUUGUA